rnacentral:rRNA from 1 species
GAUGAACGCUAGCUACAGGCUUAACACAUGCAAGUCGCGGGGCAGCAUGGGGGUUGCUUGCAAUCCCCGAUGGCGACCGGCGCACGGGUGAGUAACGCGUAUCCAACCUGCCCUUCACCACGGGAUAACCCGGCGAAAGUCGGACUAAUACCGUAUGUUGUCCAUUGACGGCAUCCGAUUUGGACGAAAGGUUUGGCGGGGAAGGAUGGGGAUGCGUCCGAUUAGCUGGACGGCGGGGUGACGGCCCACCGUGGCGACGAUCGGUAGGGGUUCUGAGAGGAAGGUCCCCCACACUGGAACUGAGACACGGUCCAGACUCCUACGGGAGGCAGCAGUGAGGAAUAUUGGGCAAUGGGCGUAAGCCUGAACCAGCCAAGUAGCGUGCAGGAUGACGGCCCUAUGGGUUGUAAACUGCUUUUAUGCGGGGAUAAAGUGGCCCACGUGUGGGUUUUUGCAGGUACCGCAUGAAUAAGGACCGGCUAAUUCCGUG